ensembl:lncRNA
GUGCAGUAUAGGUUAGGGUUAUGAGUCGUUCAGUGUAGGUCAGGGUUAUGAGUCGUUUAGUGCAGUAUAGGUUAGGGUUAUGAGUCGUUCAGUAUAGGUUAGGGUUAUGAGUCGUUCAGUAUAGGUUAGGGUUAUGAGUCGUUCAGUGCAGUAUAGGUUAGGGUUAUGAGUCGUUCAGUAUAGGUUAGGGUUAUGUGUCGUUCGGUAUAGGUUAGGGUUAUGAGUCGUUCAGUGCAGUAUAGGUUAGGGUAAUGAGUCAUUCAGUGCAAUAUAGGUUAGGGUUAUGAGUCGUUCAGUGCAGUAUAGGUUAGGGUAAUGAGUCAUUCAGUGCAGUAUAGGUUAGGG